AUAUAUUAGGGCAUAAUAAUUCAAAGGAAACCCGCCUUGAAAUUGGUGGGAAAAAGAAAUAGGAGAAGAGGAUUGACAGAGAGAUAUGCCGGUGGCAAAACCUGAGUUAUCAGAUUCCAGAGUUAUUGCUCAUGUCGAUAUGGAUUGCUUCUACGUUCAAGUGGAGCAACGAAAGCAACGUAGUCUAAGAGGUAAACCCACUGCUGUUGUACAGUACAAUUCUUGGCAAGGCGGGGGACUGAUCGCUGUCAGUUAUGAGGCUCGUAAGUUUGGGGUGAAGCGCUCAAUGCGAGGUGAUGAAGCAAAGCAAGUUUGUCCGGAGAUUCAUCUUGUUCAAGUCCCAGUUGCCCGUGGUAAAGCUGAUCUUAAUGAUUACAGGAAUGCAGGCUCAGAGGUUGUCACCAUACUUGCUAGAAGAGGCCGAUGUGAGCGAGCUUCAAUUGAUGAAGUGUAUUUGGAUCUCACUAUAGCUGCUGAAGCAAUGUUGGCAGAUAAUCCUCCAGAGCGCCUGGAAACAAUCAGUGAAGAAGCAGUGAAAUCACAUAUUUUGGGUCUUGAGGAAUUUCCUGUAGAGGUUGGUAGUGAUGCCAGAGAGAAGGUCAGACAUUGGCUCACUAGAAGUGACGCUAGUCGCCGUGAUAAGUUAUUAGCCUGUGGAGCCCUUGUUGUUGCAGAACUUCGGCUGCAAGUAUUAGAAGAGACUGAGUUUACUUGUUCUGCAGGCAUUGCUCAUAAUAAGAUGCUGGCCAAACUUGCAAGUGGAAUGAAUAAACCUGCUCAGCAAACUGUGGUGCCUUUCUCAUCCGUCAGCAAAUUACUUGGAACUUUGCCUAUAAAGAAAAUGAAACAGCUUGGAGGAAAACUUGGAACUUCUUUGCAAAUUGACUUAGGUGUGAACACUGUUGGGGAUCUGCUCCAGUUUUCAGAAGAAAAGCUACAAGACUAUUAUGGAGUGAAUACUGGUUCCUGGUUAUGGAAUACAGCAAGGGGCAUUAAUGGGGAAGAGGUCAAGGGACGCCUUCUUCCCAACAGUCAUGGUUCAGGAAAGACGUUUCCUGGACCUCGAGCUCUUAAAACGGUUGCUAAUGUUGAAAAGUGGCUUAGUGAACUAUGUGAAGAACUUAGUGAGCGUCUUCAGUCUGAUUUAGAACAGAAUAAGCGCAUUGCACAUACUCUUACUCUACAUGCUCACGCAUACAAGUCAAAUGAUGCAGAUUCAUUCAAGAAAUUUCCAUCAAAAUCAUGUCCAUUAAGGUAUGGGACUUCCAAGAUUAAGGAAGAUGCCCUAAGCCUGUUUCAAGCAGGAUUGCGUGAAUAUCUUGGCCUGUACAAUGUGAAGACUUCCGGAAAUCAAAACAGUGGGUGGGGAAUAACUGGUCUUUCUGUUUCAGCCAGUAAAAUACUAGCUAUACCAUCAGGUACACGAUCUAUUAUGAAUUAUUUUCAUAGCCAAGAGGAUACUUGCCCUCAAGUUAAACUAUCUGGCGAAAAGCUUAUCCAAGAUGCUCCGCUUUUGUCACCUUCAGAGAACUGUCUAGGAAGUGGAGGUCAUCUGACAUUGCGGUCAACGGAGCCACGGAUAGCACAUUGUGAGGAAGAUACAGAGACUAAAGAUUCCUUGCCACUGGACAGACAGGAAGAGGACAAGGAGAUGGGUAAAGAAAAGCUGCCAGAUAAAGAGACUUCGAUAUGUUCUUCACCAGAUGCUGAAGUAUAUCGGGGAUGGGAGAAAGAUCAGACUGAAUCAUGCGGAGACUACCUUACUGAAAAGAUUAGAGAUACUUUAGAGUCGGAGGAAGGGAAGAAGUCGAACAAAGAAAAGGUUCCAAACUCCAUUCUGGUAUUUCAUUGCUAUCAGUGCUUAUCUCGUGGAUCCUAGCUGUGUAUUGACUGUAUUUCCAGUUUCUCCUUUCCCAUUUAGCUUUCUUUAAAUGCGUAGGCUUUUUUUAUUCCCCAUUGUCCUUUUCAAUAUUGUUGCUCUUUUAAUUUUCGUAUGAACUGUGCAUUUUUCUAUUCCAUGACUUUAAGAUGACAGAUUGUUUGAGUAGUCAGAUUUUAGGUUUCCUUUCUGCACUUUCCUUGUUCAAGUAUUUUUACUUUACUGUAGUAUAUAUGUCGUAGUAAAGCUUAUUACUUGAGUACUAAGAUUUAGGUUUUUUAAUUAUUUAUGCCUUCAACAAUAUGUAUGAAGGAGAAAACUCAAUAUGCAACUGCCUAAGAACAUCUAAUAGAUUUAUCUUCAUGAGGUUGAUAGAUCUCUUUUGGUUGAUAGAGAUCAUAUUUCUAUAAUCUAAACAUUAGGUCAAGUUAGAAAACAUAAGCAUCAGAAUGUUUAUCAAAGAGAUCUUACUUUAUCAAAAAAGGUUAUCAAAGAGAUCUUUCCUCUCCUUCUAUACCUUGCUAUGCAAAUGCUUCACAUAUAAAAAGAGGUCAUAUAAGGUAUGCACACCUUUGCUGCACUGGAAAGAAGUCAUCAAUGAUCUCAGCCACUGAAUCAGUGGUAUCAAUUUCACCUAUAUCCCUUUCAGAUUGUGAUGCACCAUUUUUGGAGUUGAUGCCUUAAAAUUGUCUUGGAGUAAAUGUCCAGCAUACAAAUAUUGAAAGUAAUCUUUGUUUUGAUUGCUUCAGAAAACUGUUUUUAAGCUUCUUUUGCUAUUGCUAUAUCAGGGAAUGUCGACAAUCUCACGAUAUUUUCAAAGUCAACAUUCUGGGUCUCUCUUAAAAGGAGAACAUGCUAGCACUAGUAAGCUAAGGGAACCAUUCUCCUUGUCAGACUGUCAAAGUGAACUACUUCAACGAAAUUCACUUGCAAG